GAUCCUGGCUCAGGAUGAACGCUAGCUACAGGCUUAACACAUGCAAGUCGAGGGGAAACGACAUCGAAAGCUUGCUUUUGAUGGGCGUCGACCGGCGCACGGGUGAGUAACGCGUAUCCAACCUGCCCAUCACUUGGGAAUAACCUUGCGAAAGUAAGACUAAUGCCCAAUGACAUCCCACGAAGGCAUCCGAAUGGGGUAAUAAGUAUU
rnacentral:rRNA from 1 species